rnacentral:rRNA from 1 species
GCGUGAGUGAUGAAGGCCUUAGGGUUGUAAAGCUCUUUUACCCGGGAAGAUAAUGACUGUACCGGGAGAAUAAGCCCCGGCUAACUCCGUGCCAGCAGCCGCGGUAAUACGGAGGGGGCUAGCGUUGUUCGGAAUUACUGGGCGUAAAGCGCACGUAGGCGGCUUUGUAAGUCAGAGGUGAAAGCCUGGAGCUCAACUCCAGAACUGCCUUUGAGACUGCAUCGCUUGAAUCCAGGAGAGGUGAGUGGAAUUCCGAGUGUAGAGGUGAAAUUCGU